UUUUUUAGGUUUCAUUGAUUAAAAAUGAAAGAAAAUUAGAAAGGGAAAGGACACGUGGCAGAAGCUUGAUUACAUUCAAUUCUGCUGUGGCGCACAGGCCGCACAAUGAUUCAUUCUGGUUGAGAGUCAGAUCCAACGCUUUUUUCUCCUUUUUUUUUAAUUCUUUUUAAUUUUAUCAUUUAUAACAUGAAGGUGACAAUUUCGAUUUUUUUAAGUCGAAAACAAGUGUCUUGAUCCGUUGAACUGUGUUUAGUUUAGUUGACAUGUCUUUAGUUUCAA